GGAGAGAUGCUGGAGCGACUGACCGAACCCGUCCCGAAAACGGGAGUAGGGCAACGCUACCGGGGGUUCAAAUCCCCCCGUCUCUCCA
rnacentral:tRNA from 1 species